rnacentral:rRNA from 1 species
UACGAAGGGGGCUAGCGUUGUUCGGAAUUACUGGGCGUAAAGCGCACGUAGGCGGAUCGAUCAGUCAGGGGUGAAAUCCCAGAGCUCAACUCUGGAACUGCCUUUGAUACUGUCGGUCUAGAGUAUGGAAGAGGUGAGUGGAAUUCCGAGUGUAGAGGUGAAAUUCGUAGAUAUUCGGAGGAACACCAGUGGCGAAGGCGGCUCACUGAUCCAUUACUGACGCUGAGGUGCGAAAGCGUGGGGAGCAAACAGG